GGCAUGGUGGUGCAGUGGUUAGCAUUGCCAUCUCAUAGCAAGAAGAUCGUGGGUUCGAAUCUGGCCUGGGGCC